rnacentral:rRNA from 1 species
UACGUAGGCAGCGAGCGUUGUUCGGAGUUACUGGGCGUAAAGGGUGUGUAGGCGGUUGUUUAAGUUGGUGUGAAAUCUCCCGGCUCAACUGGGAGGGUGCGCCGAAUACUGAAUGACUUGGAGUGCGGGAGAGGAGAGUGGAAUUCCUGGUGUAGCGGUGAAAUGCGUAGAUAUCAGGAGGAACACCGGUGGUGUAGACGGCUCUCUGGACCGUAACUGACGCUGAGACACGAAAGCGUGGGUAGCAAAAGGG